rnacentral:rRNA from 1 species
UGGGGAAUAUUGGUCAAUGGGCGAAAGCCUGAUCCAGCCAUGCCGCGUGUGUGAAGAAGGUCUUCGGAUUGUAAAGCACUUUAAGUUGGGAGGAAGGGCAGUUACCUAAUACGUGAUUGUUUUGACGUUACCGACAGAAUAAGCACCGGCUAACUCUGUGCCAGCAGCCGCGGUAAUACAGAGGGUGCAAGCGUUAAUCGGAAUUACUGGGCGUAAAGCGCGCGUAGGUGGUUCGUUAAGUUGGAUGUGAAAUCCCCGGGCUCAACCUGGGAACUGCAUUCAAAACUGUCGAG